UACGUAGGGUGCGAGCGUUGUCCGGAAUUAUUGGGCGUAAAGAGCUCGUAGGCGGUUUGUCGCGUCUGCCGUGAAAGUCCGGGGCUCAACUCCGGAUCUGCGGUGGGUACGGGCAGACUAGAGUGAUGUAGGGGAGACUGGAAUUCCUGGUGUAGCGGUGAAAUGCGCAGAUAUCAGGAGGAACACCGGUGGCGAAGGCGCCACUCUGGGCCGGUACUGACGCUGAGGAGCGAAAGCGUGGGGAGCGAACAGG
rnacentral:rRNA from 1 species